rnacentral:rRNA from 1 species
UACGAAGGGGGCUAGCGUUGCUCGGAAUCACUGGGCGUAAAGGGUGCGUAGGCGGGUCUUUAAGUCAGGGGUGAAAUCCUGGAGCUCAACUCCAGAACUGCCUUUGAUACUGAGGAUCUUGAGUUCGGGAGAGGUGAGUGGAACUGCGAGUUGUAGAGGUGAAAUUCGUAGAUAUUCGCAAGAACACCAGUGGCGAAGGCGGCUCACUGGCCCGGUACUGACGCUGAGGUGCGAAAGCGUGGGGAGCAAACAGG